rnacentral:rRNA from 1 species
AACCCGGAGAACUGAAACAUCUAAGUACCCGGAGGAGAAGAAAACAAUAGUGAUUCCGUAAGUAGCGGCGAGCGAACGCGGAGUAGCCCAAACCAGUCUUGUUACGGCAAGGCUGGGGUUGUAGGACCACGUUAUUGGUUGUGUAAUGAAUUAGAAUCCGUUGGAAAUCGGAACCAUAGAGGGUGAUAGUCCCGUAUAAGUAAAGAACAUUAACCAUAGUGGUAUCCUGAGUAGUGCGGGACACGUGUAAUCCUGUAUGAAUUUGCCGGGACCAUCCGGUAAGGCUAAAUACUCCUGAGAGACCGAUAGUGAACUAGUACCGUGAGGGAAAGGUGAAAAGAACCGUGAAUAACGGAGUGAAAUAGAUCCUGAAACCAUACGCUUACAAGCGGUCGGAGCCCUUCGGGGUGACGGCGUGCCUUUUGCAUAAUGAGCCUACGAGUUACCGUUUCUAGCAAGGUUAAGCACUUCAGGUGCGGAUCCGUAGCGAAAGCGAGUCUGAAUAGGGCGUAUAGUUAGUGGCGGUAGACGCGAAACCGUGUGAUCUACCCAUGGGCAGGUUGAAGCUGUAGUAACAUAUAGUGGAGGACCGAACCCGUUGACGUUGAAAAGUCUUGGGAUGACCUGUGGGUAGGGGUGAAAGGCCAAUCAAACUCGGAAAUAGCUCGUACUCCCCGAAAUGCAUUUAGGUGCAGCGUAUUAUUAGUUUUAUAGAGGUAGAGCUACUGAUUGGAUGCGGGGGCUUCACCGCCUACCAAUUCCUGACAAACUCCGAAUGCUAUAAAAUGAUGUAAU